CUCACGCUGCUUCAAUGAACACUGCAAUCUAUAAAAACCCAUCACACACCCUCUCACAAUGAUCACACACUCUCUUCUUUCUUCUUCAUUUCUCUUUCUCUCUCACUCUGACUCUGAGCUCUGACUCUGAUACUUGUACUCAUGUACACUGCCUUCUUCUCUGUUCCCUCUCUGUCAGAAAUGAUGCUGUCUUACUCAGCUCUUAUCUAUCUUGAAUUCUGCACUCACAGAGUUGUCAAGCUGCUGAUCUGAUAUCAUCUGAUUGAUCUCUGAGCUCUUCUCAUUGCCUCUUUAUGAUGCUACUCAGUUUGACUCUGAGAUUAAGACUGCUGGGAUGUCUGCACCUUUGUUUUUCUGCUGCUACUAGUGCUGUGAUGGAAGAGAGAGAAGAGAGCUGCAGAUGGUAUGAUGAGAGUGAUGAGAAUUGAAGAUAGAGAGAAUAACAUGAUUCAUGGUCUGAGGAGAGAGUCAAAAUCAACAGAGUGAAGUGUCAAAAACAGCUCCUCUUCCCCCUCUCAAAAGAAGAACAGUGGGUGAGUGAGGGUGAGCAACUUCUAAAAUUGUGGCCACACAU
rnacentral:sRNA from 1 species